rnacentral:rRNA from 1 species
GACGAACGCUGGCGGCGUGCUUAACACAUGCAAGUCGAACGGAAAGGCCCUGCGAGUGUGGGGUGAUCGAGUGGCGAACGGGUGAGUAACAGGAGAGUAACCGGACCUAGACUUUGGGAUAACUUAAGGAAACUGGGGCUAAUACCGGAUAGGAGAUGCUGCAGGAGGGAGGGGGGGGGAAAGUUUCGGCGGGCGGGGAUGGACUAGCGGCUGAUCAGCUUGUUGGUGGGGGAGGGGCUUACCAAGGCUUUGACCGGUAGCCGGCCUGAGAGGGUGACCGGCCACAUUGGGCCUGCGAUACGGCCCAGACUCCUACGUUAGGCAGCAGUGGGGAAUAUUGCCCAAUGGGCGCAAGCCUGAUGCAGCAACGCCGCGUUCGGGAUGACGGCCUUCGGGUUGUAAACCGCUUUCGCCUGUGACGAAGCGUUUGUGACGGUAAUGGGUAAAGAAGCACCGGCUAACUACGUG